UCCUGGCUCAGAUUGAACGCUGGCGGCAGGCUUAACACAUGCAAGUCGAGCGGGGUGAUGGUGCUUGCACUAUCACCUAGCGGCGGACGGGUGAGUAAUGCUUAGGAAUCUGCCUAUUAGUGGGGGACAACAUUUCGAAAGGAAUGCUAAUACCGCAUACGUCCUACGGGAGAAAGCAGGGGAUCUUCGGACCUUGCGCUAAUAGAUGAGCCUAAGUCGGAUUAGCUAGUUGGUGGGGUAAAGGCCUACCAAGGCGACGAUCUGUAGCGGGUCUGAGAGGAUGAUCCGCCACACUGGGACUGAGACACGGCCCAGACUCCUACGGGAGGCAGCAGUGGGGAAUAUUGGACAAUGGGCGCAAGCCUGAUCCAGCCAUGCCGCGUGUGUGAAGAAGGCCUUAUGGUUGUAAAGCACUUUAAGCGAGGAGGAGGCUACUUUAGAUAAUACCUAGAGAUAGUGGACGUUACUCGCAGAAUAAGCACCGGCUAACUCUGUGCCAGCAGCCGCGGUAAUACAGAGGGUGCAAGCGUUAAUCGGAUUUACUGGGCGUAAAGCGCGCGUAGGCGGCUAAUUAAGUCAAAUGUGAAAUCCCCGAGCUUAACUUGGGAAUUGCAUUCGAUACUGGUUAGCUAGAGUGUGGGAGAGGAUGGUAGAAUUCCAGGUGUAGCGGUGAAAUGCGUAGAGAUCUGGAGGAAUACCGAUGGCGAAGGCAGCCAUCNGGCCUAACAC
rnacentral:rRNA from 1 species